CAUUGGGGAUCCCUCGGCCGCCACCUUAUAGCCCAUGGCCGAAGCUGAGUGUCGCCCCGUGUGCUCGUCAUGGAUUGCAGAGAGAGAGAAAAUCGAGAGCGCUGACGCGUGGCUAUGCUGCUCGCGUGGCCUUCCAGUUCUCCAUGGGUCACCUGGGGGAUCGCCAUGACAUGGGGAUCAGUUGCGGGUGAUCUGGGGAGUGGAUGAAGGUGUGCGUCGCUCGGAAUUUGUCGCCGGAGCAUUGUACCUUCCGCCGUGCUGCCCUGUGCCUGGGGCAGGGUGCUCCACUGCUCGAAUUAAGGUAAGGAGCCGCAUAAUACCUUCGUCUUCCUACCCGCUGAGUAUUGCACGGGUUGGAAUAAUGCAUCGGUGCUCUAAACUCGUGGUCUAGGGGGAGUCAGCACCAUUGGCGCCGCCGUGGUUGGUCUCUGGCCGCCGGCGCCU
rnacentral:lncRNA from 7 species